rnacentral:rRNA from 1 species
GAUGAACGCUGGCGGCGUGCCUAACACAUGCAAGUCGAGCGAUUCUCUUCGGAGAAGAGCGGCGGACGGGUGAGUAACGCGUGGGUAACCUGCCCUGUACACACGGAUAACAUACCGAAAGGUAUGCUAAUACGAGAUAAUAUACUUUUAUCGCAUGGUAGAAGUAUCAAAGUUUUUGCGGUACAGGAUGGACCCGCGUAUGAUUAGCUAGUUGGUAAGGUAACGGCUUACCAAGGCGACGAUCAGUAGCCGACCUGAGAGGGUGAUCGGCCACAUUGGAACUGAGACACGGUCCAAACUCCUACGGGAGGCAGCAGUGGGGAAUAUUGCAUAAUGGGCGAAAGCCUGAUGCAGCAACGCCGCGUGAGCGAUGAAGGCCUUCGGGUCGUAAAGCUCUGUCCUCAAGGAAGAUAAUGACGGUACUUGAGGGGGAAGCCCCGGCUAACUACGUGCCAGCCGCCGCAGUAA